UUGCUAAUCCUACGGGCUAUGUCAGCAAC
rnacentral:sRNA from 1 species